AGAGUUUGAUCCUGGCUCAGGAUUAACGCUGGCGGCGUGCCUAACACAUGCAAGUCGAACGAAAUAUCUUCGGAUAUUUAGUGGCGAACGGGUGAGUAAUGUACAGGUAGUGUACCUUCGUACUGCGAAUAACAAGCUGAAAAGUUUGCUAAUACGGAAUAGUUUCCUUCGAGGGCAUCCUUAAAGGAAUAAAGAUUUAUCGUGCGGAGAUCAGCCUGUAUCCUAUUAGUUAGUUGGUGGGGUAAUGGCCUACCAAGACGACGAUGGGUAACUGGUCUGAGAGGAUGAGCAGUCACAUUGGAACUGAGAAACGGUCCAAACUCCUACGGGAGGCAGCAGUGAGGAAUUUUGCGCAAUGGGGGAAACCCUGACGCAAGCAACGCCGCGUGAGUGAUGACGGCCUUCGGGUUGUAAAGCUCUGUCGUGUGUGACGAGUAGGGACGGUAACACACAAGGAAGCCUCGGCUAACUACGUGCCAGCAGCGGC
rnacentral:rRNA from 1 species